AAGUUCUUCACAAAAAUAAAAUAGUAAUUAGAAAAGUAUUAGAUCUGAAGGAGUAUAAAUCUGUGCAAUGGUGAACUCGUUUUUAAGUGUUCCUCAGAGAACUCUUCAUAUUUAUGUGCAAGACAGUAACAGAACUACAUUCUUUUUCAUUAGUUUUAUAAGUUUUUGUUUCUAACCGGAUGAUAAUACAGUGUGCUGAUGAGGCUGUCUAAUACUGUGGCCACAUUGCCCGGCAUUAUCAGUCCAGUCAUCGCAGGUUACAUUGUGCAAAAUAAGAAAUAAAGCAUGAGACCACACAAAAAGAGGGCGAGUGCCACCGUCACAGCAAUCACUAUCUGUUGGCAAGUGAGGAGCUGGUGAUUGAGUACAUGAUGACUGGAAUGGAGAAGGCCACCAGUGCAUUGCCAGGUGAAGCUGCAUGGGACAUCUGACAAGAAACUGUAAUAAUCAGCUAAAAUACUGACAGUUUAACGCAAGCAGAGGAACAGGCACUACACGCACUAUGGAGUGAUGCGUCUCAGUAUCCUCCCAGCAGACAAUGGCAAUGCUAUUGUCAUUCUUAAUACUGCGAACUGCAAACAGUAUGUAAUUGAUCUUCUGGGGAAUUCAGUGUACAAGAUGCUGGCUGCAGACUCCACACAGUCCGUAGAGUUAGAACUGAUUUUAUCACUGAUAUGUCCUUACUACUGUAAGGGGUUAUUCAACAACUGAGAUGACACAGUUAGGCACCUCAAAAUAUACAUAAGGCCCAUCAAUAGCACAGUUGGAGCUUCGCCCUAAGGCCUCAUGAUACUUCUAGUGAGCCUAAUUAGACAACAUCCAGGUAACUUCAUUAGCACGUGAAGAAAUCAUAAGACUUUGCCUGCAGUCUGGCCACACUCUGGAUUACACCUGAGGGCAUUCUUGGCAGCUUUGUUGUUGUCUCCCAAUAUACAGAAAUCCUGACUGGAGAUACAUUUGAGCUUCUCAGUCAGCAAAUCCAUAAACAUAAAGUCAGGCCUUCCACCACUACUGACACCCUUAUAUUUCUCUUUCAACUGUCAUUUCUAAAAACAGAGGGAUAGAGUUGUCACAGGUUGUCCACUGUCACUUUUGAUAAACAGUUUCUCCAAGGAGGGGGGCCUCAGUGCUGAAUCCAUUACACUGAUGAUAUCAUCAUGAUUUUGACCCAUGGACUAGAAUGGCUGAAGGACUCUCUAAACAGUAUUCUCUAUAACAUCCAGGUCACUGUGGAGACUGAGAUAAAUGGCCACCUUUCCCUGGAUAUCAAUAUCUACAGAAGCCCAUACAGUAUAUGGAAAGUUGACCUACACUGAUCUAUAUUAGAAUGCUAAGAGUCAUCACCAUCUGGCAAACAAGCAGGCAGUGCUGUCCACCCUGGUACACAGAGCCAGAGCCUUCUGUGAUCAAGGGAGUCUUCAUGUUGAACUGGUCCAUCCACAUUUAUUGUGCUUCCAAUCCAUCUCAACAACUGGAUAUGUCCCUUUUCAGCUGUUACCAAAAUAUUUAUAUCAUCUGCAAACAAAACUAUCCUCGCCUCUUUGAUAUUCAAAGGCAGAUCAUUUAUGUAUAAUAAAAAUAAUAAUGGUCCAAGCACUGAACCCUGUGGUACUCCAUAUUUAAUUUCUCUUGGAGCCGAUGUAUAUUUUUUGCCAUCACAACUUAUUUCAACAAAUUGCUUCCGGUAAGCCAAAUAUGAUUUAAACCAUAAGUUUGCCACACCUCUAACUCCAUAUGUUUGUAAUUUAGAUAGUAAGGUGUCAUGAUUUAUGGCAUCAUACGCUUUAGUUAAAUCACAAAAAAUUCCGACCUGUUUUUCUUUUUUCUCAGCUGAUUCCUGUAUGUUUGCUAGAAAGGAGUAAAUUGCAGUCUCGGUCAUCCUAAAUCCAUGUUGGGGCCUCUGUUAAUAUGGCAUUUCUUGUCAAAAAGGAGAGUAACCUAUUAUGCAUCAACUUUUCCAAGAUUUUCGAGAAAGCACACAAACGGGAUAUUGGUCUAUAAUUUUUCAUAUCCUUCUUGUCUCCAUUUUUAUGAAGUGAUCUUACCUUUGCUAUCUUAAAUCUCUCUGGGAAAAUACCUGCUUCUAGAGAGGCAUUAUAAAUGCGGGCUAAUGGCGUUUUAACCGCUUCUAUACAUUUUUUAACCACAUAAUCCGGUAUUUCACCAGUACCUGCUGAAAAUUUCCCCCUAAAUUUCUUCACCACAAUUGUUCCUUUUUUCACUCCUUAAUAAGGUAUGGUAUCAUCUUUUGGGGAAACUCAUCUCAUAGUUUUACUAUUUUUCUUCUCAAAAAAAUAAAGGCUAUCAGAGCGAUGUUGGAAUAUGGCAAUGGAGUUUUGUGUAGAAACAUAUUUAAAUUUAUUUAUCGUUAUCAUUAAAUUCAUUUAUCACUUUCAUCACAGUAUAUAUU